rnacentral:lncRNA from 1 species
CAUAGUCAUAGCUCAGAUUGUCUCCACAACCUGUAUUGUAUGUGUCAAGGUAGGGAUUAUGUCUUGGCUGUCCAUAGAAUCCUUCAAAUGCAUGUGCUUGUUGAAGUUGUUGGGCUUGACCUAUACCAUAAUUUCUCACCAUAGAGGUUAGUUCAGAAAUUUGAGAAGAGAGAAAAGACAUACCGUAGCCAUGCUUGUAAGCCAUGCUUGUAAGGUCUUGGCAGUGCGUUCAAUUUCUGGAUCGUAAAGAAGAGCUUCUUUACGAUCAGCCCUGGUCAUAAAAGGAAAAUACGUUAGUUAGAUCAAAUCCCCGGCAACGGCGCCAAUUUUUGAUAAGCGGUUGUCGAAGCCGUAAAAAAUAAACCUAUUAAACAAUCAACAAUUAACUUGUAGAUAGUGGCAAUAGGGUCGAACCACAGGGAUUUGACACUACGGAUUUUCCUACUAAUAACUUGGACAAGUAAAUAACAAGAAAUUAAAAGAGGAGGGUUUUGUUUUGAUGAUUAAAACUAAAUAGCAAGAGAAAGCAAUAAUUUAAAUAGAUGAGAAUUUCAAUAGGAGAAGAAUUCUAGUUGAAGAAUGGAUCUAUUUCAGUUUGUUUAGAAUUGAUCAUUGAUCUUUUCGAUACUCCUAUUUAUUUCAAUAAAUUAGUUUAGGAUGUGGAAGACGCUUCUCACAAUUCAAAUUCCUCCUUAGUUCUAGUUUGAUUAGGAAACGUUCGCUAAUCAAACACUAGUUAACAAGUUGCCAAGGAACGUCCUUGGGGCUUUUAGCAUCGAACAACUGUUAACUGCAUUAAGACUUAGAGAAACCUAAUUCUAACCUUGCCAACCGCGUGGUCAAGUUUAGAUUAUGCAACUUGAUUAAAUGUGUGUUUAAAUAAUCUAAGCAAUUACGGACCUAAAUUAUUCAAACAAUUGUUACUCAAGCAAUUAAAAGCAAUAGGCCUAAAUUGAUUCUAAAAGCAAAGCAACAAUUAUAGAAAGAUCAAAUUGCAUAAAUAUUGAAAAUAAAUAGAAGUUUAACAAUGGAGAUUUAAAUCUCCCAAUUCAUCAUAAAUCUGAAUUUUCCAACUUCAACUAGAAAAAUAAAGUGUUUAGCCACUCAUGGUGGAUAAAAUCACAAAAGAAAGAAGAAAAGAAAGAAGAAGAAAAGCUGCUGUAUUUUUCUGCAGAAUUGCUGAAGAUGAGAUGAAGAAGAGAUGCCUUUGCUGGUUUGGAGGCUGCUCUUUUAUAGCUGAAGAUUUCCAUCCAUCUAGGGUUUUGAAAUCCCUUUUUGAUUUGGCUUAUGAUUCCUCUUUUGAUGUUGAAUUUAAUUGCAAAUGGAAUUCCUUAGGUGAGAAACUCUUUCGUGGCUCUUGAAAUUGUGUUGGUAGUGAUUGAGUUGGAUUUGGACUUCUAAAAAUUCGAAAUUCGGUUCCCUGCUGUUUUUCCGCCUCUGCUGUCAAUUUCUGCUGUCAAGGUGAUUUGGGCAAAUCACUUGCUCGAUCUGCCCCAAUCGCUCUCUGGGAUUUCAGUCCAGUUUCUGUCUCUGUUUCUGCGAGUGAUUUGGCCAGUUUCUGCGAGUGAUUUGGGCAAAUCACUUUGACCAAAUAACUUUUCCAGCUUUUUCUUCACUUUUUCUCCAACUUUCCAAUUUCUUCUUUUUCUGUAAAAAUAUAACAAAAACACAAAUUAAGCUAGAAAAAUGUGUAAAUAAACAGUAAUAAAUAUAAUAAAAAUGUGGCUAAAUUAUGCAUGAUCACAAAAACCUCUUAAUAGAUAAGAAUACACCCCAACCAAUUCUUAAAAAAUAUAAAUUUGUUUCAAAUUAGAAUUAGUAACUAAUUCCAACAUUGAAGUAGUGAAAAAACUCAUAAGCAAAAAAUCUCAAAUGGCCAUGAUCACAAAACAUAUAGUCGUUAUUAUAAAAAGAAUCAAAAUGCCAAUUGUAGUAAUUAGUAUUGACAAAAUAGAAGCAAGCGAUUCAAUCAAGUGUCUGAACUCUAAAGAAAAAUUCAUACAAUCAAUUAGACACCUAUCAGCUAGCUGCAUCUCAUUACCAUCAUGUUUGAUCUUGUCUAGAAAUCUAAGUGCAUCCCUAUCCUAUCAUAGGUCGUUCCAAUUAGCUUAUUGUAUGAAAUAAUCUGUUUAAAAGAUUCCACUCUUUAUUGUUGUGGAGGAUUUGCCAUCAACUGAUUUAUCAUAGUAAACAUCUAUUGUAAUCUAAUAUAGCGAUGGUUAUGGGAUCUACAAGAUCAUAAUCCAUAUGUGGCUAUGGUGGCGGCUGCUCUUUAGCUUAAGCAUCUUUUAGCCUCCUACCAUGCUGUCUAGGAGUUGAAGUCUCAAUAUGAGUAGAUGCCUCAUCUUUUGCAUCUGACUCCUGUACCAUAGUAGGUCUCCACUCCCUACGCAUCACUUCUUGAAACUAAAUUCAUAUAAUCAACAUACUACAAUAUUUAGAGAUCUAAACAUAUAAGACGAAAGAAAUUUACAUAAACUAAAUCUAAUAUAAACUUUUAGAAGCAACGAUUAUAAACAAGUAUGAACAACAAUCCUAUAAUCCACAUGUGACAACCUACAUGCAAUUUUCAAGAUUUUAAGUUUAAGAUCCAAUACCAACUUUGUCACGAUCCAACUUUGGACCGAACCAACAUUAGGACUGGGGCUAACCUAAAGCCUCCAAACUCUGUAGUAAGCCAUUAUCUCUCAACUUACAAUUAAGAAACAACUAGAAAUGCUCAAAAUCAAGAAAUUAAAAGGACAUAGUUCCACCAUUGACUUAACAUAUCAAUGGAGAGAAAAUUUACUCGACUUAUAAAUGAAUAAAUUAUAACAAUUUGGAGAGCUCAACUCACCCAAACAAUCCACAACAUUCUCAAAUAAUCACAUGAUAAGUAAUAACAUUAUAGAGAGCUCGGCUCUCUAAAAGAAGUCCAAUAUCAUGAAAUAUAUUAGUUGAAAUAAAGAUUCUUACUACCUAGGGGUUACAUUCAACAUUCAUUAUGGAAUUCACUAUGGAGUUCUAGAGAUAAAAUUUUAAAAUAUCAAAAUAUAAUAAAAAUGUAGAAAAUUUUGUGUGAAAGAAUUGUAGGUCAAUUCGCAAAGAAGUCCACAUGUCAUCUGGAGAAAAAUAUUUGAACAGAGUGAGCGUUAUACUCAAGAAGUAUAGAUAUUAAUUAUAAUCAUAAUUCUAUAACUAUAAUUACUAAUGCAAUACUAUCAAUGAAAAUGUAUCAAUCAAUUAAUCACACAAUCUUUACACAAAAGGAUAAAUUGGAGCGAGUUACACACUCAUCUAUAAUAAAUAUUUGGAGCCAACCCCAUAUCUUGGCUCUCUUAAUCCAACAUGUCCUCCCAUACCAUUCUAUGAGAUUAGCUGAAAUAUACCGUUGUACUUACCUUGUAGUGUUGAGAGAAAACAAAAUAUAGUAUCAUACCUACCUCCCCUAUCCAUAUCCUUGGGAGUCAGUGAGAUAAUGAGUCAUACCUACCGCAAGACUCUACAUCCAUCUAUAUAUAUGUAAUCUCCUAUUUAUUGAAGGCAGCACAAUAUAAAAUAAAUAAUGCAAAGAAUAGAUGGUGUUCCUAAUAUAUUAACUAAGUACAUAAUAUAAGUGAUGUAUCAACAUGUUAGAUAAAUAUAAAUAAUAUUAAAUUUAUAAAGAUAAUUAAUAUUCAACUCAUAAAAUAGGGUGACUCAUUACCUAACAGUCUUAAAAGAUGGCUAAUUUAGAUUAGCUAUAUAAAGUCAUCAAAAUAUUAUUAAAGACGAACCAUAAGCAAAGAAAUAAAGAGGCAAAGACAUUCUAAGCUUUUGUCAAAAUUUCGACAGAGUUUUUCCUAUACUUAAGAUCUAACCUCUCUGUAAGAAAAUCCAAUUCAUCUAUCUCAAUAAGUACAAUGACCUUUAUCGUGCAACACAAAAAUAUAUUGCUCAUCCAACGCUUACCAAAACUACCCAACUACUACAAAUUAUAAACUUUUGCUCAAGUGCUUUAAUAUCUCUAUCAUCUAAUAAAAAAUCAAAUGCCCUUUGAAACUUUUACAAAUAUUCUCUAGAGUUCUUAAUAAUGAUAAUUUGCUAUAAUAAUUGACUUUACUCAAUUAUACUCAACCUAAUAUAUUUAAUAAUAUAUCAAGCUAAAUAUUAAAACUACGAUAAAAUGAAAAUUUAAGUUCAGACUUAUCAAGGCCAAUUUAGAUAUCUAAAAUGCAUUAAGGGCGUUUGGAAAUAGUGAAAAAUACUAUAAUAUUGACCUUUUUAGAGGUUAAUCCCAGAGAGUACGCAUCUGGACUAAAAUUGUUGUCUUAGGUGUCGGUAGAAUUUCUCCAAAAUAAAGGUAUCUACACGAAAUAUAUAACACCAUCGUGAGAAAUAUGAUUUUAUUUUAUAAGAAAAUACGGCUUUAAGAGCCCAAAAAUUUACCAUCAAGCUUAUGGGUAUUCAAUAUCAAAAAGUUAUGAGAUUGGUAUCUAUGUGAAGCUCCCGAUGAAUAUAACAGGUUGGUAGUUUCAGACUUUUGAUAAGAUGCUUACUGUGAGAGAAAUCCUAGUGGGAAUGGCAGAAGGGUCAUAAACUUUGGACAUUUGAUUCAUGCAAACCAAGUAACAACGAUGGGCAAUUUUGAUAUCUAUGUGAAGCUCGUCAGGAGAUAAGUCUAAAGUGAUAAAUCUUGCUUGAAAUGGUGGUCGGAGGAGGAAAAAAUCAAAGAGAGAGAAACAAAAAUAAAAAAAAGAAAAGAAAGGAAAAGAAAAGAAAAAAAUAAAGAAAAUUGGAGGGCAGGAAGAAUGACGUGCGCUCGAGGAAAAGAAGGAAUCGAUUCGAUUUAACUAAUCUAAUUCAUCCAGUUUGAUUUGACUAAUCUGAUUAUAUAUUUUUUUCGAUUUAUAAUUUUAUUUGAUAUUUUUGCUCUUAGGUGGUAAGUUGAAAAAAGUCUAUAAAAAUUUAAAAUAAUUUAGAACUUGCCACAUAGUCUUUAAACAAUUUAAAAUAAAUUUUUAAAAUUACAAACUAUAAAAUUUAAAAAAUUCCACAAAUUUUAAAGAAAUUUAAUAAUGAGUUUACAUUUAAAUAUUUAAAAUUUUGCAUUAAUAAUAAAAUAACUAAAACUUCAGAACGUUACAACCACAAUAUGAUUAGAUGAGCAUAUGACUCAGAAUCGCGAAAUUGAUGGAUUAGCGUCAAGUCAUCCCAAACUGGAUGAUAAAUUGACCAGUCAUCUCUCAAAAUUGAUUGUUUGCCCAACAUUGAAUGACCUGAGUGAAUAUUCAAUUGAACUGUGAUAAGAUAUAGCUCUAUAUCAAAGAAUAAAUAGGCAAUCAACUCCAUUCUUUUGCAUUAUCUCUCUCUUUAAAAUUAAGAGAUAAAAGCAAGAAUUUAAUUCAAUUAAUGUUUUAAUAAUUUUUUUUAUUUGUAAUCACAGAAUUCAAAUUUUUUUAAUUUUUUAUUCUAAAAAAGUUAAAAUUUUAUAUAAUUUUUCAUUCUAAAAAAAAUUAAAUAAAUGAAUUAGAUAAGAAAAUUCGACAACUCCGAAUUGAUAUUGUACAGACAUUCCACCUUCUAAGAUCAAGUCAACUGGUUGGAGAUUGCACCCAAAAGACCAAGAUGAAACUGUAAAAUUUUUAUGAAUAUAUGUUUAUUUUUAUUAAUGAUGUUGUAUAAAAACUAUUUUUAGUCUUUUCAUGGCCUCUCAACCAAUUAUCCAUUAGACUUAAUGACCUUCUCCCCCAUUGCUUGGACCUUCCUUCUUUAUUCCAAAAAGAUCAAGAUCUUCAAGCAGUGCUUCAGCAAGUUCAGUGCUUAGCUGAUCUCCUCCAGCAGGACUAGGACGCAAAGUGCCAUAGUGAAGAUGCUUUGAAGCUAAUGGUCGAGCUUGAAUAGUGCACAAAGGCAUAAUAACAAAGCUCCAGAAAAGGACUAGGACCAAGAAAUUGGAUGGCUUAUUGAGUUUUGUAGCCAUUAAUAUAUAAUUAAGAAGAAAAUUUCUCUUUAGCUGAUGAAGAGAUAAAUAGAUGAACUAGUAUUUGUGGAAUUGUAGAGUUUGCAUGGUUUGGUAUUUAUAGGAAAAGAUGGUAAGCUAAUUUGACUAAAACUUGUGGAAAGAAAAGACUGGUCCAAAUACUUAUAGUAAUUGUGACUGUUAAGAAAUAAGCAGGAAAUAGGUAUCUAGAGAUUGGCAUUUGAAAAUUUUGUGGAAAUUUUUUAAUUUUUAUUUGGAAUUUGUUUUUAUUUGAAAAUUAUUUAAAAGACUAUAGAUUGGUAGGUUUAAAUCCAACAAGCACUAAUAUACGAGUGACUGACCAUUGAAUUUGUGGGUAAUUUUGAGUUGUGAGAAUUAAAGGGCAGAAGAGUAAUUCUUUCUCUUAGGAAAAUUGACCUUAAAACCAAACAUUUAUAUGUUUUGGUGAUUAUUCCAAUCUUUUAAUUUUGAUAAAUUAAUUCAAAAUUGAAAAACUUAUAUAGAUUUUAUCAAAUUAAAUUCUAAAAUGUAUGAUUUUGCUUGUAGGAUGAUGAUAUGUCAUUUUUUAUUAUUAAUGCGAGACCCAUUUGUCACAUGCCAAUGCAUAUGGAAUCAGAAUAGUUUGAAAUAGACUCUCCUAAUUCAGGAGAAGAAAAUGAAGAAUACAUAAAUUAAAUUUAGUCUAUGCAUACAACAUCAGAUUCUAAUCAGAUUAAUAGAAUAAUGAUACUAAAUCACAAGCAAGCGUAGAAGUUAAGCCUUAUAAUCCAAGGCCUUCCCCUGUGAACUCAUAAUAUAAGGACACAAAUUAUAAUUUCGUCCAGUAUGAUGGUUUCUCUAUUAUAGAAUGGAAUAUUGACGGAUUAUGUGAUUACCAGAUAAAAAAUGUCCUUAAUACAUGACUAUUUAUGCGACAGUUUCAAGAGUAAAAGGCAAUAAUAAUCAAACUGUUGCAAAAGCCUUAAUUGCAGGCUUUAUAAAACAACUUAAAGGAUAGUGGGACUUCUUCAUAUCAAAUGAAGGAAAAAUGCAGAUAUUUAACACAGUAAAACAAGAAGGCACUAAUAUAGUAUAAGAUUGCGUUAACACCCUAUUAUAUACAAUAGGAAUGCAUUUUGUUAGACCAGCCAGUAUGUAUAUGGAUCGGUCAUAAGAGCAAUUAAUGAAUUUAAAAUGCCUAGACUGAUCUCAUUUCAAAUGGUACAAGGAUACCUUUUUCGCCCUCACCUUUAUAUGAGAAGAUAGUCAAUAUGAUUUUUGGAAAGAAAAGUUCUUGAAUGGACUUCCAUCUCUUUUUGCUGAAAGAGUUAGAGAUCAAAUAAGGCAAAGCAUGAAGGUACGAUUCCCUACCAUAUAUACACCUAUGGAGAACUCGCAUUUGAGGUGGUCUCCAUAGGAGUAGCAUUAUGCAAUGAAAUAAAAAUUCAUAGACAUAUGCAAAAAGAAAGAAUUAAUGAGAGAAAGAUUUUAGGCAAUUUUUGUGAACAAAUAGGAUUUCAGCCCAUAAAUUUUCCUUAUAAAAUGAAAUUUCAGGGGAGAAGAAGGAACAAAUAUUAUAAACCCAAUAGGUUUAGAAAACCCAAAAAAGACAAAUCCUCAAAUCAAAAAAGGGAGCCCAAAAGAAGAAAAGGACUAAAAAUGGCAAAGCAAAGAAAACUAUAAUAUGCUAUAAGUGUGGUAAAGUAGGGCAUUACGCUAAUAAGUGUAAAGUACAGUAGAAAAUUCAGGCCUUAACCAUAGAUGAAGAUCUAAAAGAUACUUUAGCUAAAUUAUUCUUAAAUGAUACUGAUUCAGAAUAAGAGGACAUAGAGCUUAACGUGAUAGACUACACUUCUGAAGAAGAAAUAGAAAAGGAAGAUGAGCCUAGAGAAAAUUUGGAUUGUGAUGGUAAUUGAGAUUAUUACAAAUCAUUGUGUGCUUUAAAUGGUUUGUUAGUCCUCAUAAAAGAAGAAAAUCUAAUAUUGGAUCUAAUAGAUAAUAUAGAAGAUCUAGAAAACAAAAGAAAUAAAUUAUAAACCUAUAUUAAAAUAUAAAGGAAAAAGACAGAGGCAUCCAGUUCUAAGAACCCUCUAGAAGAGAAAUUAGAAGAAAAAUAGACUUCUUAUGAUUUGAAGGAGAUACUGGAUAGAGUUAAAAAUGCAAAGAAAGUAAGGGAACCUACUAUAGGAGAUUUAAAGGCAAAAUUAAAUUCAGUAAAACCUUAAUUACAAGGGUUAAAAGAGAGAGUGUUAAUUUUAGAACUACUCAAUGAAGAAUAAAAUCAAUUUGACCUUAGAAGGCCCGAAAAGAAUAUCUCAAGUGAAGACGAAACUAAUAGUAUCAACAAUAUUCACUAUGUUAAUUUGGCUGACAGAGUGAUACUCACAAGUGGCAUACUAAACUAACAAUAGUUGUCCACAAAGAAUAUGUGUUUAACAUAAUCGCGUUAAUAGAAUCAGGCGCAGAUUUGAAUUGCAUAAGUGAAGGAUUAGUCCCAUCCAGAUAUUUCUCCAAGACUAUAGAAGAGCUCAACACUGCAGAUGGGAGCAAAAUGGUAGUAAAGUACAAGCUGAACAAUACUGCUAUUUGUAAUAAGGGUAUCUGCUUCGAAAUUCCAUUUCUAAUGGUAAAAAGAUUAUCUCAUCCUGUUAUCUUUGGAAAUCCUUUCAUACAUAAAUUAUAUCCUAUUAAAGAGGUAUCAAAAGACAUAAUAAGUACUGAGAUAGAAGGAAAAGUAAUUACUUUUCACUUUGUAUCUCAGCCGAGAGUAAAAAAAAAUAGAUGUGCUUAAAAGCCAUUUUAAAAACAAAAACAAAUUUAUCAACUCCUUAAAAUAGGAAGUCUCUUUCAAAGUUAUAGAAGAAAUAAAUUAAUGAUCCAAAGAUUCAACAAAGAAUCAAGCUAAUUCAGGGACAAAUGCUUAAUAGCCUUUGUCCUGAAAGCCCCAAUGGUGUUUGAAAAAGGAAAAUGCAUGUGGUAAAUUUACCAUAUGAACCUAACUUUAAUGAAAAAAUAAUUCUCACAAAAGCCAGACCAAUAGCAAUGGGGACAAGACACUUGAAAAUAUGUAAAAAAGGAGAUUAUUGACUUAGAGAAGUCCAUAGAGCUGCCCUGCGUUUUAUGUGGAAAACGCAGCAGAGUUAGAAAUGGGAGUUCCUAGAUUAGUAAUUAAUUAUAAGCCUUUAAAUAAUUCCUUAAAAUGGAUCAGAUAUCCUUUGCCUAAAAAAAGAGAUCUAUUAAAUAGACUCUAUGAGACAACUAUCUUCUCAAAGUUCAACAUGAAAUCUGGAUAUUGACAGAUUCAGAUUGCAGAAGAAGAUAAGUAUAAAACAACAUUUAGAGUUCCAUUCAGACAUUAUGAAUGGAAUAUAAUGUCUUUUGGGCUAAAAAACGCCCUAUUAGAAUUUCAAAAAAUUAUGAAAGUUAUCUUUAAUACUUAUUCAGGAUUCACUAUAGUCUACAUAGACGAUGGCUUUGUAUUUCUAAGAUAAUUCAACAUUUUAAGCAUUUAAAUAUAUUUAUCAAAAUUGUUAAAAAUAAUGGAUCUGCUCGGAAGACUCAACUCUUUCAAACAAAAAUCAGAUUUUUAGGUCAUAAUAUAGAAAGGGGGACAAUUAUCCCCAUUGAUAGAGCAAUGGAAUUUGCUGGCAAAUUUCCUUAUGAAAUAAAAGAAAAAACUCAAUUGCAAAGAUUUUUAGGAAGUCUUAAUUAUGUGUCAUACUUCUAUAAAAAUUUGGCUCAGGAUGCAAAACCUUUAUUUCAAAGGUCGAAGAAAAAUCCCUCAGAAUGGUUCGAGGAACAUACACUGGCAGUAAGAAAAAUUAAAGAUAGAAUAAAAUCUCUCCCUUGUUUUGUUAUACCUCACCCUGAAGCCUUUAAAAUUGUUGAAACAGAUGCAUCAGAAAAAGGCUAUGGAGGAAGCCUUAAUUAGAAGUUCAAUACUAAAGAGUCAUUUUAAGAUUUACUAAUGGCAUUUGGGUUGGAUCUAGGGUUAAUUACUCUACAUUAAAAAAGAAAAUAUUAUCAAUAGUUUUAUGCGUUCAAAAAUUUGAGUAAGAUCUGCUAAAUCAUAAAUUUCUCAUAAGGAUAGAUUGCAAAAGUACAAAAGAAAUACUCUUAAAAGAUGUAAAAAAUAUUACCUCAAAAUAAAUUUUUGCUAGAUGGCAAGCAAUCUUAUUUGUUUAGAGAUUGAAUUCAUUAAAGGAGAAGCUAAAUCAUUGCCUGAUUUCUUAACUUGAGAAUUUCUUAACUUGAGAAUUUCUUACAGGAGAUAAGUUCAAAAGCUCUAGCAACUCCAUCAAAAAGAUUGCAUGAGAUAUCGUCUCCUCCACCUAAAAGUGUGGAUAAAUUCAGAAACUAUACAUAUAAAUAAGCAUCAAAGCUACAAAUAAUAAAGAGGUUAAUUAUCCAUAUAUACCUAUUAAUUAUUUCUUUCUAAAUACUGUUGACAGGAAGCGUGACAGCUUAAAACCUUACGAGGUUGCUAAUUUUUACAUAGAACACCAUUCUACAAGUCCUUAUUUGCCCAAGGCUUUUGACUAUUACCAAGCUAUUCUAGCAGAAACUGGAUCUGUAAUGUUCUCCCCCAUUGAAAUAUUAGCACAUGAAUGAGCUUUUAGUAAGUUUAUUAUUAAAAGAGUAAUAUCUAGUGAUGAAUGGGUAGAUUCUCUUUCUAAAAAAAAGAACUAAGCUACAGAAAGCCUAGAUACUAUAGUUAUUUUGAUUAUAUUCAGGCCUGGACAGGAGAUCUCUUAUAUGAGAAUAGACAAAGAAAAUUCAGUUGGUUCAUGCAAUUCCAACUGGAUAAAGAAAGCUGAGAUUUUUCUCCUUAGCACCAUGAUUAGUUUUUCAACUGGGAAUUAUUUCCUAUCACCUUACCUAAUAAGGUAAGAUUAAUAUAUGAACAAUUUACUGAAAUAAACAGGACCUUAAAGAACCUAAGACUAUUAUUUACAAUCCUCUACAAAAUACCUGAAUUGUUAGAUGAGACUAUAUUAUUAUCACCCAAAAAUAGAAAAAAUUUAAUGAAUUCUCAAUAGAAAGGAUACCCUAGCUAGCAAGGAGAAUCAUGAUUAAUGGUAGGAUAAAUAUGAAUUUUUUGAGGCUCCAUCAAUCUAUAGUAAUAAAGGAUUGAUUUGCUUGGCUAAAAAGCCAAAGUCAUCCAAAACUACUUCAUCUCCUACUAAUCUAUCAGAAUUCUUCAAAGAAUUAUUACAAUUUGUACCAAGAGAAGAAUUGCAAAAAUAAUUAUUUAAUCACUAGGAGAUAUGGAAGAAUCUGGCAGCUCAAAAGAAAAGGCAGAAUGCUCAAAAUCACAUUUUGACAGGAUGAAGGACAAUGACUCAGAAGAUAAGGAAAACAUGUCAGAACAACUAUUGAUGGAUAACUAGGACCCUUAUGAAUUAUGAAGGGUACUCAAAGAUUUCCUGAGCACUCCAUUAAGUGGUCCCUAAAAUGGUGACAAAAGAAAUGAUGCAAGCCAUGACGACUAAAAGAUUCUCUCCACCAAUAUAAAUAGCUAUGUAAUGUAAAUAAGUGUCAAGUUUUUCUUUCAGAGUAUUUUUUAGUGUGUUUGUUACAUUUCGUAAGUUCUUGUAAAGUGUUUGACGUGUGUUUGUACAAUUCCUACUAUCAAUAAAAUUUUCAAAUUUAUGGUUCUAAAGCGACUUGAAACUCAAAUAGAUGAAUUAGGUGAGAAAAUUUGGCAACUCCGAAUUGAUAUUGAGUGGAUUGCUAAAUAGGAAAACAUUCCAGUAAAAGAGUUAUUAGGAGAACCUUCUGGCAAGUUUGAUUACUAGGUAUACUAUUCUAAGCCUUCGUCUGCAGACAUUCCACUUUCUGAGAUCAAGCUAACUGGUUGAAGAUUGCACCUAGAUGAUCAAGACGAAACUGUAAGAGUUUUAUGAAUGUAUGUCUAGUUUUAUUAAUGAUGCUAUAUAAAAACUACUUUUAAUAGAUCUUACUAGUAAGCAAGAAGUAUUAGUUUUUAAAUGAGAAUUUGUAAGUGAAGGGUCUAAAUUAUUUGAGAAUCAUCUAGAAAUCCAUAAUCUGUAACAACCCAGAAAACCGGACCGCUAUUGGCGCUAGGAUCCAAAUCGACUUAAGGUCGCUGGGACCCGUAGCAAGCCUACUACACAUCCUGUAUAUCUGAUAAAAUCCCAUAUAUGAUCAUACAUUUUCGUAAAAACUUUAAACUUUCACAUAUACCAAGCUUGACCUGUGCAUGCACUAUACUGUAAACAUAAAACCCCAUACUAAAGCCCUCAUCAAAUGCUCUAGUGGGUCAACAUAUCAUACAUCAAGCUUGGUUCAUCAUUUCUUAUCAUUAAAACAUUUCAUAAAAUCAUGUACAACUGGGAUUCACCACAAACAUUAGGGCCAAGUACAAUACUAAUCCUCAUUACAUUACUUUACAUUUCAUUACAUUACAUGUCCACUAAAACUCUAUUACAUAACAUAGCCAUAACUCUGCUGGCUUUCCCAUAGCUACCUGUACUCCUGCAAACCUGGGGGUUAGGGGAGAGGGGUGAGCUACAAUAGCCCAGUGAGCAGAACUAUAAAAACAUUUAAAUAAACAUAUGCCAUUAUGAAAUGUGUCACAUUACAAGUAAAUCACAUCACGGAUGGACUGACCCAAAAAUCCCUCUACUCUGUGCCUGGCUCUCGAUGGAGCUCCUCAGGACUUCUGUUACAUACAUAAGCUCUGUGCUCGGCCCUCGGUGGGGCUCCUCAGGACUUCUGUUACAUAGCAUAAAAUCUAGAGGGCUAAUGGGUCGUCCUAUUGUCCAUCCACACCCAGAAUGAAUAAUGCAAUGCGGCAUAUUCGUGGAUUCUAAUGCAAACAACCUAUUACAUAUCAUGAUGCAUGAACAUGCUUAAAACAUUUGCUUUCUGGAAAUAAAGGAUUAGUUUAGUUCCACUCACCUCUGGCUGACUCUAGACUAACUCUGAAGCAGCUAUCUCACUGCUGAUAAUCUCGGUUCCUCAGGUCCGAUCCUACACAGGUGGACUCAAAUGAGGGACCAAACAUACUCUAACAUGACUCUAAACAUCUCCCAAAAAAACCCCCUAAAACAUCUUAAAACAUGCAUUGAAAACAUGCAAAGGAAGGCUGGACAGGGCACUUUCGGCGGCAGGUUCGGCGGCCGAAAGUCCUUCCAGAGCCGAAAGUCAGGCACUUUCGGGGGCAGGGUUCAGCGGCCGAAAGUCCUUUCAGAGCCGAAAGUCCUUCCAGAGCCGAAAGUCACCCACUUUCGGGGGCAGGUUCGGCGGCCGAAACUCCCCUCUAGAGCUGAAAGUCCAAACUUUCGGGGGCGAGUUUAGGCGGCCUAAAGCUGCCUCUAGGCAGGUUCGGCGGCCGAACAUGGUUUCGGCGGCCGAACCUGGGCUUUCCCAAAGGGCAGAACUCGAUUUUGCCUUGCAUUUCCAGCCAUCCACAACACCCCAACAUGCAUCCAACUAUACUAAAACAUGCAUAUUCACAUAUUAAGCAUAUAGGGGCAAAAAACUAGCCUAUACCCCAACAAACAUCACAUAUAGCAUACAUUUAUCACAAAGGGUACAUAAACCCUAACAUUUUUCAUUUACUCUAUACAUGCAUCAAACACCCAUACAACCCCUUAAAACUUACUUAAAACAUCAUAAAAGACGUGGAUCUACACUUACCUUUUGAAGAUCGAGAGGAGAUAUGAUCCAAGCUCAGAGAUAUGGAGGAACGAGCUCCGGGGGUCUCCAAGCUUCCAAACUUCGAUCUUUAGCUCAAAAUCUUCCAAAAACCAAGUAAAAACUCAUUAAAACUUGAAAGAUUUGAAGGAAAACACAAAAUCGACCAAAGGAAGGCGAAAUCUCACCUAUGCCAGAAAAUAGAGAGAGAAAACUCGCCCGUUUUCGGACAAGGGGCCCUUUAUAGGUGGCUGGCCAGACCACCUUCGGGGGCCAAAGGUGCCUCCGCAAGAGGCCAAUGUUCGGCGGCUGAACAUGAGGUUUGGCGGCCGAACCUGGCAUUUUCCCCCUUGGUCUUUUCUUUCAAAACUCAAAUUCUUUCUUCGUAAAAACCAUAAAAGCAUGUAAAAACAUUUUAGAAAACCUUUACUUUACCCUUCUAGAAGGCUCCGACAUCCUAGAAUUCCGGAUUCCAACGGAGAUUCCGCCGGAAAGUAGGAAUUCUGAUGCCGGAGUCUAGCCGGGUGUUACAUAAUCAGUAUUGUGAUUGUAGAGAGCAUUAGAGAACUUUAGCUUUUUUAAUAUUAUUAUUAGGUUCUUAGAUAAUUUAAUUAGCAAUAAUAAUUUUUAAUGAGUAUUAUGGAGAAGUUUUAUCCACAUAGUCUAGUGAAACCCAAGUCGCGUAUUCAUGGUGAGCGUAGCAGUGAAAUUGCUUGAAGACUUUAGGAGUAAAUCGUUGACAGUGAUAUAGAUUUAUGAAUAAAUUAUUCGAAAACUUUUCUAGUCUCUCUAGGAAUACUAGUUCAAGAGGAAGUACUACUCAUUGAGCUUAUCUACAAAUUACCAUCUAUUUUUGCUAAUCUCAUCUACAAAUCAAACUCCAACUUUGUUUUGAAAUCAGAUUAUGUUGUAAAAAUGGUGGAACAAGCAACACCUGUCCAUGAAGGGUUCUAGUCCUUGAGCUUAUUUUCUAAAGAGCGCAUAGAGAAACAUCAAGAAAAAUACAUAGUCCUUCACGUGGGAAUGGUACAAGUCGCAUUAAAAUCUACAACUAGGCUAGGUUUAAAUAUCUCAGCCAUAUAUUGUGUCAGAGAUAAAAGGCAUAAUAAGUUUAAUGACUCUUUAUUAGGAGUUAUAAAAUCUUCUUUAUGUGAUGGACCUAUCUAUUUCUCUUAUUAUCCAAAUGAUAGCGGUUGUCGAAGCCGUAAAAAAUAAACCUAUUAUCAAUCAACAAAUAAAUUUGCAGAUAGUGGCAAUAGGGUCGAACCACAGGGAUUUGACACCAAAUAUCUUCCUAAUAAUGACUAAGGCAAGUAAAUAGCAAAAAUAAAAAGGGGGUUUUGUUUUGAAGAUGUACUAAAGCUAAUUAACAAUAGAAAGCAAAUAAUUUAAAGAUGAGUAAAUCAAUAAGAGAAAAGCUUCUAGUUGAAGUAUGGAUCUAUUUCAGACUGUUUAGAAUUGAUCAUUGAUUCUUUAACACUCCUAUUUAUUUCAAUAAAUUAGUUUAGGAUGUGGAAGACGCUUCUCACAAUCCAAAUUCCUCCUUAGUUCUAGUUUGAUUAGGAAAUGUUCGCUAAUCAAACACUAGUUAACAAGUUGCCAAGGAACGUCCUUGGGGCUUUUAGCAUCGAACAACUGUUAACUGCAUUAAGACUUAGAGAAACCUAAUUCUAACCUUGCCAACCGCGUGGUCAAGUUUAGAUUAUGCAACUUGAUUAAAUGUGUGUUUAAAUAAUCUAAGCAAUUACAGACCUAAAUUAUUCAAACAAUUGUUACUCAAGCAAUUAAAAGCAAUAGGCCUAAAUUGAUUCUAAAAGCAAAGCAACAAUUAUAGAAAGAUCAAAUUGCAUAAAUAUUGAAAAUAAAUAGAAGUUUAACAAUGGAGAUUUAAAUCUCCCAAUUCAUCACAAAUAUGAAUUUUCCAACUUCAACUAGAAAGGAAUGGAUUUAGCCACUCAUGGUGGACAAAAUACACAAAAGAAAAGAAGAAAGGAAGAAGGAGACAAGCUUGCUGUGCUUUCUGCAGAAUUUCUGCUGUGGAGAGAAGAUGUCUUUGCUGGUUUGGGCUGCCUCUUUUUAUAGGUGAGGAAUCCCAAUCCAAUUCGGUUUUGGAAUCCUAAAUUGGAUUGGUCUUUGUCUUUGAUCUCUUCUUUAAUUGUGAAUAAAUCUUCUUCUUGAGGAGGUCUAUCUUGAGAGUGACUCUUUGAGAUGCCCUAGGACUGAUCUUGAAGUGUUUGAGAGGGGUUAGGACUUCUUUAUUUUAAAUCUUGAAUUUCUGCACUUUCCCACUUCUGCUGUCAGUGUGAUUGAGGCGGUGAUUUGGGCAGAUCGCUGCCCCAAUCGUUUUCUGUGAGUCAGUCCAGUUUUUAGCUUUCUGUCUCUGCUUCCUCCGCUUGAUUUGGGCAGUGAUUUGGGCAAAUCGUCAUGCCCAAAUCAUUUCUGCGUGUUGCCUCUGGGUUUCUGUUCCUGCGGGUGACUUGGCCAAUUCAUUGACCCAAUCAGUCUCCUGUGAGAUAGUUCAGUUUUCUGCUUUAGCUUGAUCUGGGCAGUGAUUUGGCCAAGUUGCUGACCCAAUCACUUUUCUUGUCAUUUUCUGCACUUUUUCUCCAGUUUUCCAAUUUCUUCCUUUUAUACAAAAACAUAACAAAAACAUAAAUUAAGCUGAAAAAUGUGUAAAUAAGCAAUAAUAAAGAUAAUAAAAAUGUGGCUAAUUUAUGUUCGAUCACCAAACCUCACUCUGUUUUUGAUAGAUCUACACAUAAUGAAGGCAUUGUCAUUAGAUAUCAAAACCUCUAGUUAUGAUAUGAUGUCUGGAUCUGAAAAUAUAAUCUUAAUUUAUAAGAUUCAUUAUAAGGCAAUGAACAUGGUAGCACCUAAUUUAGGGGAAGAAGCAACAAUGCUGACUACUCCUAGGGGAACCACUACCUUAUUUGUGACGAAUAUGUCUAGCAGAAAUCUUAUGGUUCCAAAGUCUAUAAAGUGGGAUCAAGUUAAUCUACCUAAAAAUUGAUUUCUAGAGGAAGCAAUACCUCCUAAAAAGGAAGAUUCUACUUCGCUGCAGUCUAUAAUUGAAACCAAAGAAGGAAUAGUAGCAAUCUCUUUUGCUAGAAAUAGGAGCAUUAUAGAUGCGAGGAGAUUAUUUUCAGGAACAUCCAUAGCUUCUGAACCUUUAUCACCUAGAUCUUCAAUAUCUUCAUUUGAGCCUCUUAAUCAAAGCAAUUCGAUAGGUGGAAUACAUAGGACAGAAGAAAAAAUUACUCAAUUAAUUUAUUAAAAAGAAAGGCCAGAAAGCCCAAAAAGCCCUACUCCUUCAGAUAUGGGCUAUGAUAAAGAAAGUGUUGAUUCUAGAGCAUUUAAAAUAAAGGUAUUGGAAAUAAAAGAAACACCUUUUAACAAAGGAUUAUGUCUUAAUUUUUCUGAGGAUGAACAAAAGCUUUGACUAAAGAUUAGAAGUCUAUAAGCAAAAGGAAGGGACUAAAAUUUUUCCUGAAUUUUUAAAAUAUUGUCUUUCCUUAAAAGGAAGAAUGUUACCUGAUUUUGAAGAUAUUGUUUUCCUCAACACCCUUGAAUCGGCAUAUAAGAAUUUUAUUACGAGCAAGGGAAAAUAGUAAAAGGUGUGUGUCCUCCUCUCACUAAUGUCUCCUAUAAAAUAUAGAAUUCAUCAUAUGUUGAAUGCACUCCUUUUGCUCAAGAAGGAAAAGGCAGAUCAAUAGUUCAGCAACAAAACUUUACAAACCUAAGUCUCUAUACUAUCGGUCAACAACUUAGUAGAGUUGAAAGCCAAGUCUCAAAGCUUAAAACAACGACCGACUACAUUCCUAAAAUGGAAAAAGGAGAAAAUUCUAGUCUUAAUCUAGAAAAGAAAGUCCUAUUUAAACCCAUGGAGUCGGAGAAUCUAGACUUAGAACUAGCCAGAGAAGAUCAUUUCGAGAUAAUUGAUGAGUUAACUAAAAGACUAGCAGAAUUGGGAAUAGGAGGAGAUUCAAAAAAGAAAUCUAUUGUUCCAUUAACUAUAGAACAAGAAUAGUCUAAAAUAGACUCUCGUAAUUUAGGAGAAGAAAAUGAAGAAUAAAUAAAUCAAAUAGAAUCUAUGCUUAUAACAUCAUUCAAUUUAGAUUAAUAGGAUAACAUAUCCUAAACAACAAAUAACCAUAGAAGUUAAGCCUUAUUAUCCAAGGCCUUCCCCUGUGAAAUUACAAUGUGAGGACAUGAAUUAUAACUUCGUCUAGAAUGAUGGUUCCUCUAUUGUAGAAUGGAAUACUGAUGGAUUAUCUGAUUACCAUAUUAAAAAUGUCCUUCAAUACAUGACUAUGUAUGCGACAGCCUCAAGAGCAAAAGGCAAUAAUGAUCCAACUGUUGUAAAAGUCUUAAUUGCCGGCUUUAUAGGACAACUUAAAGGAUAGUGGGACUUCUCCAUAUCAAACGAAGGAAAAAUGCAGAUAUUUAACGCUGUAAAACAAGAAAGCACUAAUAUAGGGCAACGCUGCGUUAACACUCUAUUAUAUACUAUAGGCAUUCUUUUUAUUGGACCAGCUAGUAUGUAUAUGGAUCGAUCACAACAGCAAUUAAUAAAUUUAUAAUGCCCAGACUUGUCUCAUUUCAAAUGGUAUAAGGAUACCUUUUUCUCCUUAAUCUUUACCAGAGAAGAUAAUCAACAUAAUUUGUGAAAAUAAAAGUUCUUGGCUAGAUUUUAAUCUCUUUUUGCUUAAAAAAGAGUUAGAGAUCAAACAAUGGCAAACCAUGAAGGUAUGAUUCUCUACCAUAUAUACACCUAUGGAGAACUCACACUUGAGGUGGUCUCCGUAGGAGUAGAAUUAUGCAAUGGAUUAAAAAUUCAUAGGCAUAUGCAAAAGGAAAGAAUUAAUGGGAGAAAGAUAUUAGGCAAUUUUUGUGAACAAAGAGGAUUUCAGUCCAUAAAUUUUCCUAAUAAAAGGAUAUUUUAGGGGGGAAGAAGGAAAAAAAUAUUAUAAACCUACUAGGUUUAGAAAUUCCAAAGAAGAAAAAUCCUUAUAUCAAAAAGAGGAGUCCAAAAGAAGAAAACGCCCUAAAAAUGGCAAAGCAAAGAAAACUAUAGUAUACUAUAAGUGUGGCAAGGUAGGCAUUAUGCUAAUAAAUGUAAAGUCAAGCAGCAAAUUCAGGCCUUAACCAUAGACAAAGAUCUAUAAGAUACUUUAGCUAAAUUAUUCUUAAAUGAUACUGAUUGAAAAUAAGAGGAUAUAUAGCUUAAUGUGAUAGACUACACUUCUGAAGAAGAAACCGAAAAGGAAGAUGAGCCUGGAGAAAAUUGGAAUUGUGAUGGUAAUUGUGAUUAUUACAAAUCACUGUGUGCAUUAAAUGGUUUGUUAGUGCUCACAAAAGAAGAAAAUCUGAUAUUAGAUCUAAUAGAUAAUAUAAAAGAUCUAGAAAAGAAAAGAAAUAAAUUAGAAACCUAUAUUAAAAUAUAUAGGAAAAAUACAGAGGCAUCCAGUUCUAAGAACCCUCUAGAACAAAAAUUAGAAGAAAAAGGGACUCCUUAUGAUUCGAAGGAGAUACUGGAUAGAGUUAAAAAUGCAAAGAAAGUAAGGGAACCUACUAUAGGAGAUUUAAAGGCAAAAUUAAAUUUCGUAAAACCUUAAUUACAAGGGUUAAAAGAGAAGUGGUAAUUUUAGAACUACUCAACAAAGAAUAAAAGCAAUUUGACCUUAGAAGGCCCGAAAAGAAUAUCUCAAGUGAAGACGAAACUAAUAGUAUCAACAAUAUUCACUAUGUUAAUUUGGUUGACAGAGUGAUACUCACAAAUGGCAUACUAAACUGACAGUAGCUGUCCACAAAGAAUAUGUGUUUAACAUAAUCGCGUUAAUAGAAUCAGGCGCAGAUUUGAAUUGCACAAGUGAAGGAUUAGUCCCAUCCAGAUAUUUCUCCAAGACUAUGAAAGAGCUCAACACUGCAGAUGGGAGCAAAAUGGUGGUAAAGUACAAGCUGAACAACACUACCAUUUGUAAUAAAGGUAUCUGUUUUGAAAUUCCUUUCCUAAUGGUAAAAAGAUUAUCUCAUCCUGUUAUUUUAGGAAAUCCUUUCUUACAUAUGUUAUAUCCGAUUAAAGAGGUAUCAAAAGAAAGAAUAAGUACUAAGAUAGAAGGAAAAGUAAUUACUUUUCACUUUGUAUCUCAGUCAAGAGUAAAAGAAAUAGAUGUGUUUUAAAGUCAUAUUAAAAACAAAAAUAAAUUUAUCAACUCCUUAAAACAUGCAGUCUCUUUCAAAGUUAUAGAAGAACAGAAAUUAAUGAUCCAAAGAUUCAACAAAGAAUCAAGAUAAUUUAAGAAGAAAUGCUAAAUAGCAUUUGUGCUAAAAGCCCCAAUGCUUUUGAGAAAGAAAAAUACAUGUGGUAAAUUUACCAAAUGAACCUGACUCUAAUGAAAAAAUGAUUCCCACAAAAGCUAGACCAAUAGCAAUAGGGCCAAGACACUUGGAAAUAUUUAAAAAGGAGAUUACUGAUUUAGAGAAGAAAAGGCUUAUUAGAAAAAGUAGAAGCCCAUAGAGUUGCUCCGCAUUUUAUGCGGAAAACGCAAUUGAGUUAGAAAGAGGAGUUUCUAAAUUAGUAAUUAAUUACAAGCCUUUAAAUGAGCCAUUAAGAUGGAUCAUAUAUCCUUUGCCUACUAAAAGAGAUCUAUUAAAUAGACUCUAUGAGGCAACUAUCUUCUCAAAAUUCGAUAUGAAAACUGGAUAUUGACAAAUUCAGAAACAACAUUUAUAGUUCCAUUUGAAUAUUAUGAAUAGAAUACAAUGCCGUUUGGGCUAAAAAAAUGACUCAUUAGAAUUUCAAAAAAUUAUGAAUGAUAUUUUUAAUGAUUAUUCAGCAUUCACUAUAGUCUACAUAGACGAUGUCUUAGUAUUUUUUAAGACAAUAUAUCUGCAUUUUAAGAAUUUAAAUAUAUUUAUCAAAAUUGUUAAAAACAAUGGAUUAGCGGUCUCUGCUCAGAAGAUUAAACUCUUCCAAACAAAAAUCAGAUUUUUGGGUCACAAUAUAGAAAGGGGGACAAUUAUCCCUAUUGAUAGAGUAAUAGAAUUUGCUGACAAAUUUCCUAAUGAAAUAAAAGAAAAAAUUCAGUUACAAAGAUUUUUAGGAAGUCUUAAAAAUUUUGGCCAGGAUGCAAAACCUUUAUUUCAAAGGUUGAAGAAAAAUCCCCCAGAAUGGUCCGAGGAACAUACAUUGACAGUAAGAAAAAUUAAAGAUAGAAUAAAAUCUCUCUCUUGUCUUGCUAUACUUCACCCUGAAUCCUUUAAAGUUGUUGAAACAAAUGCAUCAGAAAAGGGCUAUCGAAGAAUCCUUAAGCACAAGAUCAAUAAUAAAGAGUCAUUACUAAGAUUUACUAGAGGCGUUUAGGCUGGACCUAGGGUUAAUUGCUUCACGGUAAAAAAGAAAAUAUUAUCAAUAGUUCUAUACGUCCAAAAAUUUGAGUCAGAUGUGUUAAAUCAGAAAUUUCUUGUAAUGAUAGAUUGUAAAAGUGCGAAAGAAAUACUCUUAAAAGAUGUAAAAAAUAUUACCUCAAAAUAAAUUUUUUCUAGAUAGUAAACGAUCUUAUCUGUGUUUGAUUUUGAGAUUGAAUUCAUUAAAGGAGAAGCCAACUUAUUGGCUGAUUUCUUAACUUGAGAAUUUUAGGAGAUGAGUUCAAAAGCUCCAGCAACUCCGUCAAAAAGAUCGUAGAUCGUAUGAGAUAUCGUCUCCUCUAACUAAAAGUAUGGAUAAAUUAAGAGAAGAUGCUUAUAAAAUAAGCAUCGAAACUACAAAUAAUAAAGAGGUUAAUUACCUAUAUAUACCUAUUAGUUAUUUCUUCCUAAAUACUAUUGGCAGGAAGCAUGAAGGCAUAAAGUCUCACGAGGUUGCUAAUUUUAACACAGAGCAUCAUUCUACAAGUCCUUAUUUGCCUAAGACUUUUAAUUAUUACCAAGCUAUUCUAGUAGACAUUGGAUCUGUAGUAUUCUCCCCCGCUAAAAGAUCAGCACAUGAAUGAUCUUUUAGUAACUUUAUUAUUAAAAGAGUAAUAUCUAGUGAUGAAUGGAGAGACUCUCUUUUUAAACAAAGAGAAGUAAGCUACGGAAAGCUUAGAUACUAUAGUUAUUUUGAUUAUAUUCAAACUUUGACAGGAGCUCUCUUAUAUGAAAACAGACAAAAAAAAUUCAGUUGGUUUAUGCAAUUCCAACUGGAUAAAGAAAACUAGGAAUUUUCCUCUUCCACGAUUGGUUUUUCAACUGGAGAUUAUUUUCUAUCACCCUACAUAAUAAGGAAAGAUCAAUAUAUGAACAAUUUGCUGAAACAAACAGGACCUUAAAGGAUCUAAGACUAUUAUUUACAAUCCUCUUUAAAAUACCUUGGAUUGUCGGAUGGGACUAUAUUAUUACCACCAAAAAACAAAAAAAAAAUUAAUAAAUUCUCAAUAGAAAGGAUGUCUUGGCUAACAAGGAGAAUCAUGAUUAAACGGUGGGAUAAAUAUGAAUUUUUGAAGCCCCAUCAGCCUAUAGUAAUAAAGGAUUAAUUCGCUUAGCUAAAAACGCAAAUUCAUCUAAAACUACUUUAUCUCCUACUAAUCUAUCAGAAUUCUUCAAAGACUUAUUACAGUCUGCACCAAGAGAAAAAUUGAAGAAAUAAUUAUUUAAUAUACUAGGAUAUAUGGAAGAAUCUACCAGCUUAAAAGAAAAGACAAAAUGCUCAAAAUCACGUUUUGACAGGAUGAAGGACAGUGACUCAAAAGACGAGGACAACAUGUCAGAACAAUUAUUGAUGGACGGUGACUCAAAAGACGAGAAAAACAUGUCAAAACAAUUAUUGAUGGACAAUCAGGAUGCUUAUGAAUUAGGAGGAGCAUUAAAAGAUUCCCUGAGCACUCCACUAAGUGGUCCCUAAAAUAGUAACAAAAGAAUAGAUGUAAGUCAUGACGACUAAAAGACUUCUCCAUUAAUAUAAAUAGCUAUGCGAUAUAAAUAAAUGUCAAGUUUUUCUUUCAGAGUGUUUUUGAAUGUGUUUGUUACAUUUCGUGAGUUCUUCUAAAGUAUUUCAAGUGUAUCUGUACAAUUCCUACUAUUAAUAAAAUUUUCAAAUUUAUGGUUCUAAAGCAACUUGAAACUUAAAUAGAUGAAUUAGAUGAGAAAAUUGGACAACUCCGAAUUGAUAUUGAUCGGAUUGCUAAACAGGAAAACAUUUUAGUAAAAGAUUUACUGGAAAAAUCUUCUGGCAAGUUUGAUUACGGAGUAUAAUAUUCCAAGCCAUCAUCUAUAGACAUCCCACCUUCUAAGAUCAAGUCAACUGGUUGGAGAUUCCACCCAGACAACCAAGAUGAAACUGUAAAAUUUUUAUUAAUAUAUAUUUAUUUUUAUUAAUGAUGUUGUAUAAAAACUACUUUUAAUAAAUCUUAUUAGUAAGUAAAAAGUAUUAGUUUUUAAACGAGAAUUAAUAAGUGAAGGAUUUGAAUUAUUUGAGAAUUAUUUAAAAUCUCAUAAUCAGUAUUGUGAUGGUAGAGAGUAUCAUAGAAUUUUACUUUUGUUUAAUAUUAUUGGUAAGUUUUUAGAUAAUUUAAUUAAGAAUAAUUUGGAGGUUUAAAUUUAGAUCUCCAAUCUCCCACUACUUAAAAGAAAAUGUGAGGUUUAAAAAUUUUAAAUGUUUCUAAAUUUACUGUAUUAAGCUAAGCCAAACAAUUUUUAAGUUGGCCAUCUCUUUAUUUUACCCAUAAACUGAUAAAAAAAAUCCAUAAAUUUUUUUUAUGUAAAUAUGAAAGUUAGAAGAGAGCUAAAUCAAUUUUGUCUCAAAAAAGGAAAAGGAAAAAUCUUCUCCGUAAUAAAGUAUGGCUGCUUCAUUCUUCACAACGGGAAUAGUUGUAAUUAUGAUAAUUAUUUAUUUAAGAAAUAUUAUGAAAUACGAAUAUAUAUUAUGCUCAAAUUUUCUUGCUCUUGGAAAAAUUACAUUUAUUUAGAGCAUUGAAAUUCUGAAGUUUCAUUUGACCAGCAAGCUAUGUAUAGCCAAAUCAAACAAUUAUUUCAAAGAAAAAACACACCAAACUUUCGACAUAUAUAUUUAAAACAAUAAUAGCCAUAAAGAAGAUCAAAUUUAUAUCUAAAUUUAUUUUUGAAAUAUUAUUUAAAAGUCCAAUAAGACUAAAUAAUGUCAAAUAAAUUAGGAGAUUAUAACUCAUAAUCUCAAAUCUAGAUAAGUGAUGAUAUUUUUUAGCUUUUUAAUAAUAGUUUAAGUAUAAAUUUAAAUCGAAAAAUAAAAUUUGAUAUUUUUAGUCUUUUCAUAUUUGAAAGGCAAUUUUAGCCUCUCAACCAAUUUUUCCAUUAGACUUAAUGACCUUCUCCCCCAUCGCUUGGACCUUCCUUCUUUAUUCCAAAAAGAUCAAGAUCUUCAAGCAGUGCUUCAGCAAGUUCAGUGCUUAGCUGAUCUCCUCCAGCAGGACUAGGACGCAAAGUGCCAUAGUGAAGAUGCUUUGGAGCUAAUGGUCGAGCUUGAAUAGUGCACAAAGGCAUAAUAACAAAGCUCCAGAAAAGGACUAGGACCAAGAAAUUGGAUGGCUUAUUGAGUUUUGUAGCCAUUAAUAUAUAAUUAUGAAGAAAAUUUCUCUUUAGCUGAUGAAGAGAUAAAUAGAUGAACUAGUAUUUGUGGAAUUGUAGAGUUUGCAUGGUUUGGUAUUUAUAGGAAAAGAUGGUAAGCUAAUUUGACUAAAAAUUGUGGAAAGAAAAGACUGGUCCAAAUACUUAUAGUAAUUGUGACUGUUAAGAAAUAAGCAGGAAAUAGGUAUCUAGAGAUUGGCAUUUGAAAAUUUUGUGGAAAUUUUUUAAUUUUUAUUUGGAAUUUGUUUUUAUUUGAAAAUUAUUUAAAAGACUAUAGAUUGGUAGGUUUAAAUCCAACAAGCACUAAUAUACGAGUGACUGACCAUUGAAUUUGUGGGUAAUUUUGAGUUGUGAGAAUUAAAGGGCAGAAGAGUAAUUCUUUCUCUUAGGAAAAUUGACCUUAAAGCCAAACUUUUUUAUGUUUUGGUGAUUAUUCCAAUAUUUUAAUUUUGAUAAAUUAAUUCAAAAUUGAAUGACUUAUACAGAUUUUAACAAAUUAAAUUCUAAAAUGUAUGAUUUUGCUUGUAGGAUGAUGAUAUGUCAUUUUUUAUUAUUAAAUGCGAGACCCAUUUGUCACAUGCCAAUAUAUAUGGAAUCAGAACAGUUUGAAAUAGACUCUCCUAAUUCAGGAAAAGAAAAUGAAGAAUACAUAAAUCAAAUAUAGUCUAUGCAUACAACAUCAGAUUCUAAUCAAAUUAAUAGGAUAAUGAUACUAUACCGCAAGCAAGCGUAGAAGUUAAGCCUUAUUAUCCAAGGCCUUCCCCUGUGAACUCAUAAUAUAAGAACACAAAUUAUAAUUUCGUCCAGUAUGAUGGUUUCUCUAUUAUAGAAUGGAAUAUUGACGGAUUAUGUGAUUACCAGAUCAAAAAUGUCCUUAAUACAUGACUAUUUAUGCGACAGUUUCAAGAGUAAAAGGCAAUAAUGAUCAAACUGCUGUAAAAGCUUUAAUUGCAGGCUUUAUAGGACAACUUAAAAGAUGGUGGGACUUCUUCAUAUCAAAUGAAGGAAAAACGCAAAUAUUUAACACAGUAAAAUAAGAAGGCACUAAUAUAGUGUAAGAUUGCAUUAACACCCUACUAUAUACUAUAGGGAUGCAUUUUGUUAGACCAGCCAGUAUGUAUAUGGAUCGGUCACAAGAGCGAUUAAUGAAUUUAAAAUGCCCGAACUUAUCUUAUUUCAAAUGGUACAAGGAUACCUUUUUCGCCCUCACCUUUAUCUGAGAAGAUAAUCAAUAUGAUUUUUGGAAAGAAAAGUUCUUGAAUGGACUUUCAUCUCUUUUUGCUGAAAGAGUUAGAGAUCAAAUAACGCAAAGCAUGAAGGUACGAUUCCCUACCAUAUAUACACCUAUGGAGAACUUGCAUUUGAGGUGGUCUCUGUAGGAGUAGCAUUAUGUAAUGAAUUAAAAAUUCAUAGACAUAUGCAAAAAGAAAGAAUUAAUGAGAGAAAGAUUUUAGGCAAUUUUUGUGAACAAAUAGGAUUUUAGCCCAUAAAUUUUCCUUAUAAAAUGAAAUUUCAGGGGAGAAUAAGGAAGAAAUAUUAUAAACCUAAUAUGUUUAGAAAACCCAAAGAAGACAAAUCCUCAAAUAAAAAAGGGGAGCCCAAAAGAAGAAAAUGACUAAAAAUGGCAAAGCAAAGAAAACUAUAAUAUGCUAUAAGUGUGGCAAAGUAGGGCAUUACGCUAAUAAGUGUAAAGUAUAGCAGAAAAUUCAGGCCUUAACCAUAGACGAAGAUCUAAAAAAUACUUUAGCUAAAUUAUUCUUAAAUGAUACUGAUGCAGAAUAAGAGGACAUAGAGCUUAAUGUGAUAGACUACACUUCUGAAGAAGAAAUAGAAAAAGAAGAUGAGCCUAGAGAAAAUUUGGAUUGUGAUGGUAAUUGAGAUUAUUACAAAUCACUGUGUGCUUUAAAUGGUUUGUUAGUCCUCAUAAAAGAAGAAAAUAUGAUAUUGGAUCUAAUAGAUAAUAUAGAAGAUCUAGAAAACAAAAGAAAUAAAUUAUAAACCUAUAUUAAAAUAUAAAGGAAAAAGACAGAGGCAUCCAGUUCUAAGAACCCUCUAGAAGAGAAAUUAGAAGAAAAACAGACUUCUUAUGAUUUGAAGGAGAUACUGGAUAGAGUUAAAAACACAAAGAAAGUAAGAGAACCUACUAUAGGAGAUUUAAAGGUAGAAUUAAAUUCAGUAAAAGCUAAAUUACAAGGGUUAAAAGAGAGGGUGGUAAUUUUAGAACUAUUCAACGAAGAACAAAAUCAAUUUGACCUUAAAAGGCCCGAAAAGAAUAUCUCAAGUGAAGAAGAAACUAAUAGUAUCAAUAAUAUUCACUAUGUUAAUUUAGUUGACAGAUUAAUAACUCACAAGUGGCAUACUAAAAUAACAGUAGUUGUCCAUAAAAAAUAUGCGUUUAACACAAUCGCCUUAAUAGACUCAGACGCAGAUUUGAAUUGUAGAAAUGAAGGAUUAGUCCCAUUCAGAUAUUUCUCCAAGACUAUGGAAGAACUCAACACUGUAGAUGGGAGCAAAAUGGUAGUAAAGUACAAGCUGAACAAUACUGCUAUUUGUAAUAAGGGUAUUUGCUUCGAAAUUCCAUUUCUAAUGGUAAAAGGAUUAUCUCAUCCUAUUAUCUUUGGAAAUCCUUUCAUACAUAAAUUAUAUCCGAUUAAAGAGGUAUCAAAAGACAUAAUAAGUACUGAGAUAGAAGGAAAAGUAAUUACUUUUCACUUUGUAUCUCAGCCAAGAGUAAAAAAAAUAGACGUGCUUACUUAAAAGCCAUAUUAAAAACAAAAACAAAUUAUCAACUCCUUAAAAUAGGAAGUCUCUUUCAAAGUUAUAGAAUAAAUAAAUUAAUGAUCCAAAGAUUCAACAAAGAAUCAAGCUAAUUUAGGGAGAAAUGUUUAAUAGCCUUUGUCCUGAAAGCCCCAAUGGUUUUUGAAAAAGGAAAAUGCAUGUGGUAAAUUUACCAUAUGAACCUAACUGUAAUGAAAAAAUAAUUCUCACAAAAGCCAGACCAAUAGCAAUGGGGACAAGACACUUGAAAAUAUGUAAAAAGGAGAUUACUGACUUAGAGAAGUCCAUAGAGCUGCCCCGCGUUUUAUGUGGAAAACGCAACAGAGUUAGAAACGGGAGUUCCUAGAUUAGUAAUUAAUUACAAGUCUUUAAAUAAUUCAUUAAAAUGGAUUAGAUAUCAUGUGCCUAAAAAAAGAGAUCUAUUAAAUAUACUCUAUGAGACAACUAUAUUCUCAAAGUUCAACAUGAAAUCUGGAUAUUGGCAUAUUCAGAUCGCAGAAGAAGAUAAGUAUAAAACAACAUUUAGAGUUCCAUUCAGACAUUAUGAAUGGAAUAUGAUAGCGGUUGUCGAAGCCGUCAAAAAUAAACCUAUUAAACAAUCAAUAAUUAACUUGUAGAUAAUGGCAAUAGGUUCGAACCACAGGGAUUUGACACUACGGAUUUUCCUACUAAUGACUUGGACAAGUAAAUAACAAGAAAUUAAAAGAGGGAGUUUUGUUUUGAUGAUUAAAACUAAAUAGCAAGAGAAAGUAAUAAUUUAAAUAGAUGAGAAUUUCAAUAGGAGAAGAAUUCUAGUUGAAGAAUGGAUCUAUUUCAGUUUGUUUAGAAUUGAUCAUUGAUCUUUUCGAUACUCCUAUUUAUUUCAAUAAAUUAGUUUAGGAUGUGGAAGACGCUUCUCACAAUCCAAAUUCCUCCUUAGUUCUAGUUUGAUUAGGAAACGUUCGCUAAUCAAACACUAGUUAACAAGUUGCUAAGAAACGUCCUUGGGGCUUUUAGCAUCGAACAACUGUUAACUGCAUUAAGACUUAGAGAAACCUAAUUCUAACCUUGCCAACCGCGUGGUCAAGUUUAGAUAAUGCAACUUGAUUAAAUGUGUGUUUAAAUAAUCUAAGUAAUUACAGACCUAAAUUAUUCAAAUAAUUGUUACUCAAGCAAUUAAAAGCAAUAGGCCUAAAUUGAUUCUAAAAGCAAAGCAACAAUUAUAAAAAGAUCAAAUUGCAUAAAUAUUGAAAAUAAAUAGAAGUUUAACAAUGGAGAUUUAAAUCUCCCAAUUCAUCACAAAUCUGAAUUUUCCAACUUCAACUAGAAAAGAUUGGAUUUAGCCACUCAUGGUGGACAAAAUCACAAAAGGAAGAAGAAAGAAGAUGGAGAGGCUGCUGCAGACUUGCUGCUGUGAUUCUGCAGUAUUGCUGAAGAUGAGAUGCCAUUCUGGUUUGGAUGCUGCCCUUAUAUAGCUGGAGAAUCCCAAUUCCAAUUUGAUUAGGGUUUUGAAAUCUCAAUUUGAUUUGGUCUUCUUUGUAGUCUUUGAUUCCUCUUUGGACUUUAUAUUUGAUUGAGAAUGGAACUCUCUAAGUGAAGGGCGUGGCUCUUGGUACUGAUCUUGUGGUGUUUGAAGUGGACUUGGACUUAUUUUCUUUGAAUUUGGAUUUUUUGCUCUUUUCCCGCUUCUGCAGUCAAUUCUGCUGUCAAUGUGAUUGGGGCAGUGAUUUGGGCAGAUCGCUUGGUCUAUCUGCCCUGAUCGCUUUCUGCAAGUCUGUCCAAUUUCAGUUUUUUGUCUCUGCGAGUGAUUUGGGCAGUUUCUGCGAGUGAUUUGGGCAGAUUACUGGCCCAAUCACUUUUUUGCGCGUUGGCUCCGGGCUUCUGUUUCUGCGGGUGAUUUGGCCAAGUCAUUGACCCAAUCAGUCUCCUGUGAGGUAGUUUAGGUUUUUGCUUUAGCUUGAUUUGGGCAGUGAUUUGGGCAAAUCACUGACCCAAUCACUUUUCUGUCAUUUUCUGCAUUUUUUCUCCAUUUUUCCAAUUUCUUCCUUUUCUGUAAAAACAAGGUAAAAACUAUAAAUUAAGCUAAAUAAUGUGUAAAUAAACAAUAAUAAAGAUAAUAAAAAUGUGGCUAAAUUAUGCUUGAUCAAAUACCCCCACACCUAGCUUUUUGCUUGUCCUCAAGCAACAAAUAACUUAGUCAAUCAAGCUCCUUUUUCUUUUGAGCCUAAGUACCACUUAAUCAGCCCCCCACUAGACUCCUAAAUUGAAGUAUCACAGUAUAGAGUACAUGCACCAAGGUUAUUCUUCUCUUUUCCUUGUUUCCCCUGACCUAUCAUGGUCAAAGGAAAGGUUUUUUAUUCAAUCAUGCUUAUUCUCUAUGUAUAAGCUCAAUGCAAUCUCUAAGAGUGACUUGCCCUUCUUUGAGCAUUUUAUUUUAUUUUAUUCAGCAACACUUUUUUAUUCUUACCUGAAAAAGUCACUAACCUUUUUACGCGAAGAUGCAUAUUGGUGAUACCCACCCCCGGUUACUCAGUUAGUCACUUGUUCAAGUGGCUACUAGCUCUGUUCAUAGCUUAUUUGGCCAUUGGAACAGGUUUAUGAUUUGUGCUUUGUGCUGGUUUUUCUUUUUCUUUUCUUUUCAUGACAGUUUGGGCAAAUCACCUCAUAGGGAGUUACACUAACUUUUUAUUUGCACGUAUUUAUAUUUUUGUUUCCUUUGACCAAAGCAAAUUUAGAGAUUCAAUUCAAGAAAAGAACUUCCAAAGUGAAGGUAGCACACUAUAAUUGAUUCAAUUUAAACUUAAAGGGGUGGUAAAUCAAUGGGGUCAUGAGAUAGGAAGCUCUUUUAACCUUGUUAUCUAUGUUGAGUAGAGCAAAAGCUAAGUCAAAAUUAUGUGUGUGUGUGUGCAAAAAGUGAAAAAUGUGUGAAAAAAAAAAAUUUUGGUGUGUGUUUAUGGGGCAAAAAGAUGCAAAAAGAAACACAAAAAGAAAAAGAAAGCAAAAAAAUAAUGCAAUCAAUGCAAAAAUAUAGCCUAGCAGUAAAUACCCCCACACCUAUCCCAAACAUUAUCCUCAAUGUUUAAACAUAAAUAUGAAGAAAAUUAAUAAGGAGAAGGAAAGGGACUGCCUGGGAUGUGGGUGAUUAGGCCAAGUGAUUUGGGCAAAUCACUGGUCAAAUCACUGUCGUGGCUGGUUUGUGGGCAGAAAAUGUUGAACCAGCAGCUGCAACAUGCUUUCCAUGUGCUGCAUCCUGUCUUGAGCCUCCACCGAAUGGUCUUGAGGUGCCUUUUAUGUCCUCCAAGGUCCACCCAAUUGCUUUUUUGUGCUUCCUCAACACAUCAAGGAGCUUUUCCUCUUCUUCUUGGCUGAGCUGGUUAGAAAUAAUUACUGGAAGUGUAUUUCCAGCUCCCAAGUAGGCAUAUUUGAGGUGGCUGGGCAAGGGCUUCAGAUCUGGUGCAGUUGCUGUCUGGGACUCUGCUUGCUGAUUGGGGCAGAUUUGGUGUUGAUUUGGGCAAAUCACUCUCUACCAUGUCUAUCUGCUCCAGUGAUUUAGGUAAGACGGGGUCUGUUUGCUUAGGUGAUUUGGGCAGAUCAUCUAUGAUUUGGGCAGAUCUCCUGUUGAUUUGGGCAGAUCACCCUCUGUCAUGUCUGUCUGCUCACUAAUUUGGGCAGAUUGUCUGGGUGAUUUGGGUUGAUCACCUUCUGUCAUGUCUGUCUGCUCAUUGAUUUGGGCAGAUUGUUUGGGUGAUUUGGGCAGAUCACUGCCUUUAUCACUUUCUGGCAGAUUUUUUCCAUGGCCUGUUUUUGCAAUUUUUCAGCCCUACUGUCUUGCAGCUCUUUUCCACUCCUCAAUGUGAUGGCACUAGCAUUUUGCCUUGGAUUUAUCUCAGUUUGGGAAGGUAGCUUUCCUUGUGAUUCAAGCUUACUCAAGGAUGAAGCCAUUUGUCCCACUUAUUGCUUCUUUGCUGGCUAUUCAGGAGCUGUUUGAGUGGUGUAUGUUGCUGGUUCAGCGAGUGCAACAACUUUUGGUUCAUUGGUGUCAAUUUCUGAGGUUGCUGGUGUUUGGACAGCAACAAGGGAUGUAAUGCUGGCAGAUUCAGCACUUGCUGAUUUUUGGACAGCAGGUUCAGCAAUUGCUAAUGUAAUUGUGGAAUUUUCAGUAGGUGGACAGCAACUGUUGUCUCUAUUUGCAGUAGGUUGGACAGGCAGAUUUCCAGCUUGAAUUUCAGCUUCUUCACGUGUAACAGGGGGUUCUGCCAUUGCUGGAUUUUCUGCAGUAAUCUGGAACUUAGUUUCUGGUGCAAUUUCAACAGUGGUAGGCGUGGCAGUGGGUGAUUUUGCUGGUGCAGAAAAUUCUUCAGCAGGUGCAGCAGCAAAAUCUGUAGGUGUAGAAAAAUCUGCUGGUGCAGAAAAUUCUGCAGUAACCUGGAAUCGGGUAUUUGGUUCAAAUGUAGCAGUGGCUAGUGUGGCAGUAGAUGGACUUGCUGGUGUAGAAAGUGUUACAGCAAUAAAUUCAAUAUUUUUGACAGUAGGAGCUGUCUCUUGGGAGACAGAAGCUUCAACAAGCGUUGUUUGGGCAGUAGCUGGUUCAGCUUCAAGUGUAGUAGUGAUUUGUGCAGCAGACUCAACAGCUCGGUCUGUCUCUUCGUCAUCAUCCCAUAGAUCUUGAAGCUCUUCCUCUCGUCUUAAUAUGUAUGCGUCCACUGAGUUGACAGCUUGAUCCACUUGCUGUUGGAGAAUUUUCCCAGAAAUUUCCAAUUUCCUCACCAUCUCUUCAAGUUCCAUAUUGGAGUUUUGAGGUGUUGCUUGGGCUUGAUAGUUUUGGUAGUAGUUAGGCCUUGCAUAGUCAUAAUUCGGAUGGUCCCUCCAACAUGGAUUGUAGGUAUCAAGGUAGGGAUCAUGUCUUGGCUGGCUAUUAAAUCCUCCAAAGGCAUGUACUUGCUGGUAAUCCUCAUAAAGUGUAGGACAUCGAUCAGUUGGGUGUCCUACAUAUGUGCAAAUCUCACAUGGUCUGAUUCGCUGAAGUUGUUGAACUUGUUGAGCUUGACCUAUGCCAUAAUUUCUCACAAUAGAGGUUAGUUCAGAAAUUUGAGAAGACAAAAAAGACAUACUUACCGUAGCCAUGCUUGUAAGGUCUUGGCAGUGCGUUCAAUUUCUGGAUCGUAAAGAAUAGCUUCUUUACGAUCAGCCCUGGUCAUAAAAGGAAAAUACGUUAGUUAGAUCAAAUCCCCGGCAACGGCGCCAAUUUUUGAUAAGCGGUUGUCGAAGCUGUC